UUUAGAUUAGUCAUAAGGAAGAAAUCCAGGAAAACCUCUUCUGCCGUGCUAGCUAGGGAGGAGUGGGGUGACAGUUAAGAUGUCUCACGACACUUGCAUCCAGACAUGGCCAGGUAGACAGAGGGUGGCCCAAUCAAAAGGGGCGCCAGCGGCCAGGUGCAGUGACUCAUGCCUGUAAUCCCAGCACUUUGGGAGGCAGAGGCAGGUGGAUCACCUGAGCUUAGGAGUUCGAGACAAGCCUGGGCAGCACAGCAGAAACCCCAUCUCUACAAAAAAAUAUACAGAAAUUAGCCAGGUGUGGUGGUGUGUACCUGUAAUGCUGGCUACUUGGGAGUCUGAGGCAUGACAAUCACUUGAACCCAGGAGGUGGAUGUUGCAGUGAGCCCAGACUGCACCAUGGCACUCCAGCCUGGAUGACAGAACAAGACUCUGUCUCAGAAGAAAGGGACACCAGCUCUAAGCAGCUGAUUUGCUUAUACCAGGUAUCCAGCAAAUAUCUGCCCUACAGACCAGAACAGUAUGAGAGGUCUCAAUUCUGGAAAGAUAUUGCUGGAGUUGGCAUUGGAAGCAGAGAAGGCUAAUUGUCUUCCUGUGUCAAUUCCCAGGAUUUGAUUCUGGCCAGCCAUCCAGCUGGAGUGCACACCCUUGCAUCUGGGAGUGGCCAUGACACUCAUUUCUAGCCAAUGGAAUGUAAGUAGAUUUGAUGAUUGCAACCUGACGUCCAAGUCAAGAAAUAAAACCCCACACCCCAGAAGCCUCCUUCCCACUUCCUUCCAACCAUGCCUGUUUGUGUACUUGGUAUUAGUGGAAUCACACAGUAUGUGGUUGCUUGUGUCCAGCAUAUUUUGCUUAACAUUGUGUUUCUGCCAUUCAGCCACGUCAGGAAACCACCCCGAUACCUACCACAGAAUGAGUAAUUACAUUGAUAUCCAUGUGUACCAAGUGUCAGUUUAGGGCUGUCCUGAAUGGCGUGCUCUAAGCAAUAUUCUAGCGCAAUGCCCGUGACUUUACUGCGCACGCCCACCGCUCCUUCCUCCUCCAUUCUGCCUUUGUUUUUGCCUCCAAUUUGGCCAGUCAUUCCCAGGCUCAUUUGCAGGCCCUUCCUCUGCCAUUUCCUAAGUGAUGGCAGGGCUCAGGAUCGCAAGCCAUUUUCUAACUCUACAUUCUUUUCUGGUGUCCUCAUCCCCUCAUGGAUUAAUUGUCAUCAACAGGUUGGUUGUUUUCUAAUCUUAUCUCAAGUCCAGAUCUCUCUCUUGAGCUCCUCUUGGCCCAAAUAUCCGUUUGGGCAUUCUGUUAUUUCCUUUUUUCUUUUUUCAAUUAUGGUAAAUAAAAAAAAAGACAUAAAAUUUAGCAUUUUAACCACUGCGCCCGGCCUAGCUUUACCAUUUUUGUUACGUCUUUCGGUCUUGCCUGCCCUGUGGGUUGGCCAGAUUAAGUUAUUUAAAAGAUUGCAAGUGCCCAGUAGCACAGAGAGCAUGGGUAAACACAUACUUCCUUACAUAUUACUGGAAACAAAUACAGUUGGUCCUCCAACUGCAGAUCAUUAUGCGUAUGAUGGUUGCAUCUGUACUGACCCAUGUACACACUUUUUUUCUUGUCAUUAUUCUGUAAACAAUACAGUAUAACAAGUAUUUACAUAGCAUUUACAUUGGAUUAGCUAUUAUAAGUAAUCUAGAGAUGAUUAAAAUAUAUGGGAGGAUGUUCAUAGGUUAUAUGCAAAUAGUACACCGUUUUGUAUCAGGGACUUGAGCAUCUUUGAAGUUUGGUGUCUGCAGGACAUUCUGAAACUAAUUGCCCGUGGACAUCAAGGGAGAUUAUACAAGUGAAACAAAAUUUGGCAAUAGCUAUUGUCUUUGUCUGUUUUCUGUUGCUUAUAACAGAAUACCUGAAAAUGGGUAAUCUAUAAACAAAUAAAAUUUAUUUCUUACAGUUCUAGAGGCUGGAUCCAAGGUU
rnacentral:lncRNA from 1 species